AAACUGCGAAAAGUAAUGUGAACUGCAUACUUUGUGAAUCAUCGAAUCUUCGAAUGCACAUUGCGCCACGUGCCCGUCACGUGGCAUGCCUGUUUGAGUAUCACGCACGCCAUGCUGCGCUCUUCCGAGCGCGCGACCUGAGAUCCAAAUGUAUAUACUGAUGUAUGUGCAUCUGCUUCUUCAAAGACUGGCGCGGGGAGGUCCAUUCGUGGACUGCACUGCAUGUCGCGCUCGCCUUUUGGGAUAACACUUCAGGGGGCGGCGGGGCGCAGGAGCCGCGCCAGGCGGGAGAGAGGGAGCAUCUCCGCCACAGCAGCAUACUUAUCUAUCUGCUUGCGCAGAUCUCAAAUCAGGCAAGACUACCCGCCGAACUUAA
rnacentral:misc_RNA from 1 species